CAUUCUCGGAAGGUUUACCAAAAACACAGCACUUUGCCAACUCGUAAGAGGAAGUAUAAGGUGUGACGCCUGCCCGGUGCUCGAAGGUUAAGAGGAUGCGUCAGUCGCAAGAUGAAGCGUUGAAUUGAAGCCCGAGUAAACGGCGGCCGUAACUAUAACGGUCCUAAGGUAGCGAAAUUCCUUGUCGGUUAAAUACCGACCUGCAUGAAUGGCGUAACGAGAUGGGAGCUGUCUCAACCAGAGAUUCAGUGAAAUUGUAGUGGAGGUGAAAAUUCCUCCUACCCGCGGCAAGACGGGAAGACCCCGUGGACCUUUACUACAACUUAGCACUGCUAACGGGAAUAUCAUGCGCAGGAUAGGUGGGAGGCUUUGAAGUAAGGGCUUUGGCUCUUAUGGAGA
rnacentral:rRNA from 1 species